GACAUUUGCCUGCAUAGAAUGAUAUCAGUUUCAAUGACUCGCAUAUUGAAAGCAAAUCAGGGUAACCAGAUACGUCAGAAGAUUGUUCAUGCCAUUGGCUUUUAGCUUUAGCUUUGUUUGAAGUCAUAUACGUGUCCUUUACUCACUAAUUCUGGGUUAAUAAUUCAAUUAUUUUGAUCUCAACAUCAGUGACAAACAGUGGCAUUGGACUUUACACAUAAGAAGAAAAGAGAAAAUAGGUAUUGGCAAAAGAAAAGAUAUGCAGAAGGAGUAGGAGGCGCGUGAGAGUGAAAGGACGGCUGAGCAGGCAUAAUGUAAAUAAGAACAAGUUGAAAGUAAGAAAGUGAGAUUUUGUGGACCAGAAUUAUUGGAGAAGAAUGGAUCUUAAUUUUAUUAUGUUUGGUUCCUUCAAGGGUGAAAUGAGGAGCAAAAGGGUUUAACUAUAGUGAGAGAGUUAACCAGUUAUGCAGUGUUAUGUAGUACUUCAAAAUUUUAGAUUAAAGAUUUUUUACAUAGAACCCAACAGAACCACCAUCAAUCUUCGUCUUCUCCAAUAGAACCCACUAAUUCCACACUACAGAAAAAUCUCAAACUGAAAGAACCCUAAAAACAUAAAUCACCACCGCAACAAUUUCUACAUUCUCCUCGCCACCACCAGUGCUAAUGCGAACCCAGCUAACCAUUCGGACCAUCAUCUCGUUAUCACAGAACAUCAGCAGCACCGUGGAGGAGAAGAGGCGAAACCCUAUCGUGAAGAGAGGGCUCGAACUUUCUACCUUCGUCUUUUCUCUUCUCCACCGUCAAGAACCCUAACCAGCAAGCAGAAACUCAGAGAAGAAACCCCCAAUUUCCAAAUCACUAAUCCCUAAUUUUAAUGAGCUUUUUCUAAAUAUAACACACUCAUUAAUCAGAUUAGCAUGUUUUAAAAUUUAAAAUAAUAUAAAUAUGCAUAUAGUAAAAAACUCAAUUUUAUUGAAACGAAAACCCAAAACCCAAUUAGAAUAAACCCGCAAAAAUAGCAAUUUCCGAAACUAUUAAACCUAUUUAUAAACAAGUAAUCUAAUCUAGGGUUGUUAGUGGUACGAACUCAGGCCUUUUUUCUCAGUGCUUAUCCAAAAAUGUAUCGCAUUCUUCACUGUGCUUUUUGCACUGCCACAGAACCACCAACAGUGAGCAUGAAGUCUAUUUCGGAGGAUUUAUACAAAGAAGUGAAGUUAAAAAGGUUGGUGGAGAAGUUCAAGAAAGCUUCCGACAUUAACCGGUUCCGCAAAGAAACCGUCAUUUACGAGAAGACAGUGCGGCGUCUCGCCGGUGCCAAGCGCUUUCGGUGGAUUCGCGACAUCCUCGAACACCAAAAACAGUAUUCCGACAUUUCCAAAGAGGAUUUCUCUGCGCGCCUAAUAUCCCUUUAUGGCAAAUCUGGCAUGGCCAAACACGCCCGCAUGGUGUUCGACGAAAUGCCCCAGCGAAAGUGCAACCGCACUGUGCUCUCUUUCAAUGCCCUCUUGGCCGCAUACCUCCACUCCAGGAAGUUCAACGUCGUGGAUGAGCUUUUCAAGACCCUCCCCACUCAACUCUCAAUCGAGCCUGAUUUGGUGUCGUACAACACUCUCGUUAAAGCUUUUUGUAAAAAGGGUUCCUUUGAUUCGGCACUGUCAGUUCUUAAGGAGAUGGAGGAGAAGGGUGUGAAUCCUGAUUCCAUUACGUUUAACACUUUGCUUGAUGGGUUGUAUUCAAAGGGUAGUGUUGAGGAUGGCGAGAAAGUAUGGGGGCAAAUGGAUGCUAAGAAUGUUACUCCGGACCUGAGGAGUUAUUCUUCUAAGUUGGUGCGGUUGGUCAAGGAGAAUAAUAUGGAUGAAGUUGUUGAGUUUUUUGGAGAAAUAAAGAAGUUAAGUGUGAAGCCUGACGUAAAUGCUCUCAUCAAUACUGCCAUCAAAAGUUCUGUCAAUGACGGUAAUUUGGAGUGGGCCAAGACAUGGUUUGAUGUCAUUGUAAACAUUGAUUUUUACCGUCAUCGCAAAACUUACUUUAUCCUUAUUCGCUUCCUGUUUGGUGUGGAUCCCGACUUCAAUGCUGUCGCCAAUGCUGCCAUCAAAAGUUGUGUGAAUAACGGUAAUUUGGAGAAGGUCAUGGAGUGGUUUGAUAUCAUUCUAAAGUAUGAUUAUGACUACUCUAAUGUUGUUCCCUUCCUGCGUGAGAAGGGUGAUUCGAAGACCGCAAUGAUGUUGUGCGAGGAGUUUUUUCAAAAACGGGGCCGUGUUGAUGUAUCGUUGCUGCAACUUGUGGUGGAUAAGCUGGUAGAUGAAGGUAUGAUUUCAAAGGCGAAGGAGAUGGUGAAGAAAGUGAAAAGUCGUUUUAAUUAUAGGCUAAAUUUACCUGAAGCAGAGUAGAGUUAUGUUAGUUCUUAGUUGCACUUUAUUGUUGGUCUUGCAAUUUGAUUGGUUUUGUUAUGAUGUGAUUGAGAAAUUGCCAAUAAUGGCUUUUGUUUGGCAACGAGAGCCUAGUAACUGGUUUCUUCAAAGUAGCUUUUAUUAUAAAUAAUUUCUUUAAUGUGAAUAUCUUUUUCUCUCAAUUCUUCCUCUUUAUUUUCUUUUUCUCUAAACUCCUUUUCUUCACCUUCUUUCUAUAGUUUGAUAUAACAAAAAGGAACAAUAGACAUGAAUUAAUCCAUAAAAAAAUAUAGAAGUAGCAUCAAGAAAGGCCUUAUCUGCCGGGUACCAUGUCGUUCACCCUUAAUGUUUUUCUUAUGACCAUAUGACAAUGAAAUAUUAUAAUGCAAAAAUAUUGUUGAUUCAUCGCCUAUGAAAUAUAUAAAUAUCAGUGACAUGGAAAUGCUUACACUAAUUUCUAUAUUCUUUUGUUACUGCUUUGGUAUGGAAAUGCUUACAGUAAUUUAUAUAUUCUUUUGUUACUGCUUUGGUAUAAUCGGAGUAGUGUGAUCACGUAUCAGUUUUAAAUUCUGUAAUGCAUUUUAUCAAAUCAAACUAUUCAUUUCUUUUUCAUAACACAUCAUAUAAAUGUAUUAAAUAUCAUUGAAAAAAAUAUGAAAACAAUCAUAGAAUAUAUAAAGUACUAAUAAAUAAAUCUUUAAGACACAAAAUAAGGAGUGAUUAUGUAGGAGGUAUGACUCAAUGCUCUUUAGAGGAGAAUAAUAAUAUUAGUUAUAAAUUAAAAAUAAAAAAUAUUCUAGUAAUUAUGUUGUUGUUUAAAUACUUUUAAAAAUGCAAAAGCUACUUUAUGAUUGUUAAACACAACUUUUAAUGUUUCUUCUCUAAUAAAUAAAUCCAUCCUUUAAGCGAAAUGUUAAAACUGUACUAACUAUAUUUUUUCUCAACCAAAGAACUAUAUUAUUAUGUCUCUACAUAUUAACCUCUACUUCCUCAAAGAACAAGAUGAAAAAAAUAAUAAUAAUAAGAAUAUGAAACUUAUUAUUGUUACCAAUUUUUAAAAAGCAACAUGAUAGUUGGGGUGAAAAUGAUUCCUCAAAUUUAGCUUAUUUCAUUACUCAAAUUAAGAAACUCAGAGAAGAAACCCCAACCUACAAGAAGAAACUCAGAGAAGAAACCUCCAAUUUUCAAGUCACUAAUUCCUAAUUUUUAAUGUGUUUUUCCUAAAUAAAACACACUCAUUAAUCAGAUUACCAUGUUUUAAAAUUUAAAACAAUAUAAAUAUUCACGUAGUAAUCUCAUACUCUGAGUAAAAGACACCUCAGCAUGCCACAUGGUAAGAAAGUUAACGCCGUCUACAAUAAUUAACGGCAAGGACAUUAUUGACUCUAUUUUAUUAAAAAAAAAAAAUAGGGACCCAAUUGAGAACUUUCAGAAUAUGAGGACCCAAUUGGAAUAAACUCGCAAAAAUAGGGACCUCUGAACCUAUUAAACCUUCUUUUUUUUUAUUAUUAAAUAUAAACAUAACAUGAGUUAUACCAAAGUUAAAAAUUAGAAGGGACAUUGUUACAACCGGAAAAUCGCGACGGGAUGAUGAUCCAAAAAAGAAACGAGUUUGAAAAAAAGAGAUUUUGGAGUCGCCACCAUAGUUUAUUCUGGAAAACUACGGAAAAACCAUAAAAUGAUAAAGCACGGUCCACGAAAACCAAAGAUUGGGUUCGGGAGUCGGUUACGUGUGGGGAAGGUGUUAGCACCCCCACAACGCCUGCCCUAAGGCAAUACCUUUAACUAAAUACGCAAAUUUGAUGUGGUUUGCAAAAUGUUUAAUUUCCACUAAAAUAAAACUCUAAAGAAAACAAAAUAUUUUUUUGCGUUUUUUGUGCCCGACAAGGAUUGACCUUGCUCCUACAUAUGAGAAUAUAGGGUUACGUAGUUCUUUGAAACCGUUUGGAAAAAUUGUUUGAGAAAUUUGUUUGAGGAAUUGUUUCCUACGUAUCUCCACUUUGGAUGGAGAAUCAAUGAUCACGUAGUUCUGGCUGAAAGGUUGAUUGUUUGUUUGAAAAAGGAUGUUUUGGUAUUUUUGUAAUUUUUAUGUAAGAAAAAGAAAAGGUCUUCUAUCACAAGGACGAUGCGUGAGAUCACACAUGCGCUAGAAUCCUUAAAAUAUAUUUUUUAAUUUUUAUUUAUAGAAAAGAAAAGGGUUUUCUAGCACAAGGACAAUGCGAUCACACAUGUGCUAGACCCCUUAAAAUAUAUUUUUGAUUUUUUUAUAAAAGAAGAAGAAAAAGUGUCCCGUACAAGGAGGAUGCGUGCGAUCACACAAGCGCUGAACCCUUUAAACACAUUUUUAUUGUUUUUAAAAGUAUAUUAAAAAAAAGGUAGAUAAAUAUUUAGAAUGAAAACAAAAGGAAAGAUAAAAAAUAAAAUAAAAUAAAUAAAAAAAGAUAAAUAAAUAAAUAAUGAUAAGUAAAUAACAAAAUGUGUGGAGGUGCUUAAAUAAGAGAAGGGGUGUCUAAGCUAUUUUUCCCUUUAUAAACAGAUUGGGCCUAAGCCCAAGUGGAAAAGAGGGUGUGAAAACGAAACAAGGGGGCUGCAAACCAAAUUUGGCUCUUACAACCAGACUGGGCCAAAGCCCAAGUGCAGAGGGAUGUAGCUUAUCAGAAACCGGGGUGCAGAAUGAAAGAUGGGGUGUGCGGAUUGGAGAAUGGGGUGUGAGGAUGGGACUGGCCCAUGAACCUGGCCCAAGCAGAAAAUAAAAGGGGCUGCAAAGAUGAGGAACGGGGGUGCGAGAGGAAAGUGUUGUUUUUUUUGUUAUUAUUCGGUUGGGCCAAGCAUCCAAACCCACACUCUCCUAACCUAGAAGCUCCAAGGGGUCGAAACUCCUCCCCUCAUUCACCUCAUUUGCAUUUGCAGCCACCUUAGGUCUCUCUCUCUUUCUCACUCCCAAUCGCAACUGCCCAGGAUUGGGUUCCUUUGCCACCACCCGAAUCGAUCGGUCGCCGUUCCCAUCCGGCCAGCCAAGGCAACGCCGACGUCCUCGCCACCAUUACCGGCCAACGCAGGCCACAACGACCUCACUCUCUCUCCUUCCGCUCGCGUCGGCCUAGGGUUUGGGGGUUUGCGCGCCACCGCACCACUCCGACAGCCACAGCCCCCACGAAAUCGCCACCGGCGACUACCGCCGGCCAUGAUGCCCAGUAUUUACCAGCUCCUCUCGACGCGUAGGAAGGAGGCGAUCGUAAGACGUCCAAUCGCCGCCACCACCACCUCUUCGAAACCAAACACCACACUACCAACUCCUUCAGUCUUGUCGUCGCUGGCGACGACGGGUACCACCAGAAUCGCUGCCGGUGACGAAAAUCUGCUGCCGCCGGCGCCAUCCGCAAAAGCCCUUCUUCCUCGCGACCAAAAACCUCGAGGAUCACACUGGAUUCUCCUCUUCUCCCCUUCGCACUUGCGAGCGAGGACAUUCCCCUCUUCUGUUCUGCUUCUUUGUAGGUUGGAUAAGAGUGAAUGAAAAGAGAGAUUGGUAUUGAGUGGUCGAAAGCGAUAGUGGACGGUACAGAAGCAAGUUUUCGUUUUGGUUUAGUGUAGGUAGAAUAUGAGCUUGUGUGGGUGCUGGGAAUUGACCUUUGUUCUUGGUGAUUGGUUUUGUGAUGUUGUGCGUAUUGAUGCAGAUGGGGCGUAUUGGGGGACAUGAUUUUAUCAUCUGGUUUGUGGUUGCUGGUCAUACAACAAUGGUGGAAUGGUUGUUGGUUGUUGGUGUGAUGGUGGCAAUGACGCUCUGGUUGCGAUGUAGGGGUUUAUGGAGAUGAGAAUGGGUUCUCUGUUUUCUGUUGUUUCACUUUGUAGGUUCGAAUGACAAUGAUGAAGAUGUUGUUCUGUGUAUGUUUGGCGUUGUGCGUGUGUCUUAGUGUGUUUGAUGCAUCGUCGAAGAACAAGUUGGGUGAGGGAAAUGGGGUUGGAAUAUUGGCUGGUUCUUGGUUCUUUGCUUGUUUAUGUGUAACAGGGGAACUAUGAACAGGGUAUAACAAGUAGGAUGAAGAUGAAGAUAUUGACGGCGGACCCGUGCCUUGAAACCAUCCUAUGAUUUUGGGUGAUGAAGAGGGACCCGGGGAUGGCUAAUAGCUGUUAAGUACUUGGGUGAUGGAGUAAGAAAAACGCAUACACUACAACAUCAUAUUUACACAUUCAUACAGAGCAGUACCAAUCAUCAAUAUUUCACAAAAGCUUCCCACGAUGCAACCAGCUCUCUGGAACAGAUACGAAGGAAAAAACAUACCUCUAGGAGUUCCGCUUGUCCUGGUCAACUCCGACGACCUCUUUCUCCCCUUUGUGCAAGCGUUCCUUCUCCUCUUCCCUUUUGUUUUCAAUGGAAUCCUCACUCUGUGCUCUGCCCUUUCUCCCCUGAAGACUCUUCUUUUAACUCCAGACGUCUUUUUUUUUGUUGUUCCCUUUUCUCUCGAUGGCUAAUACCUUUUCAACCCGCUGGAUGACGUGCCCAUUCCUCUCUCCAUUGUGAUUCCUUUAACCGUUUUUUUGUCUCUGCCAAUUUUUCUUUUGCAAAUCAAAACCGUGCCUGCCAAAACCAAUCCACCACAUCCUCUGCAUGCUGUACCAGCAGCCCCUCCAAACCAAAAUCUCUUUUGUUGUUUUUUUCUCAUUUUUUUUAUUUUCUUUUUUUCUUUUCUUUUUUUUUCGAAAAAAGACAAAAUAGAAUUUUAUAUCUUUUUCUUUUUUUUACUAAUCAUAUUAAACAAAAACAAAAAAUAAAUAAAUAAAUAAAAUAAAGAAAUAAAGAAAAAUAAAAGAUAAAAAUGAAAAUAAAAACGAAAAUUAAAAAAAGAAAUUAUAAGAGGAAAAGUAAAAUAAGGAUAAAAUAAUAAAUAUAAAAAAAGAUAAAAUAAGAUAAAGUAAAUAAAUAAAAAAUAAAGAAAAUAAAAAAUAAAAUAAGUAAAUAAAUACUAAAACAUGUGACAAAAUGCAAGAAAGCUAAAGAAAAUUAAUCCGGACGAAAUGUGGUAUUGAGAGAUAUCAAAACUUUAAAAAUUUCAAAGAAGCCAAUAUUGUGUUAAUGUUGUUAAAUUGUGCAAAUCUUGUUUUGACGGAUUAGAGAGUGAUUUCUGCUUGAAAAUUGACAAAGAAGAUGUUGC
rnacentral:lncRNA from 1 species